ACACUUAGCCAAAAAAUUAGACAUUUCACCUUCACACUCGAUUUCCCCUCUUUCUCUCAAAAAAACCUAAGACUCUGAAAAAACCUAAGACAAAAACCAUCCUGAGACUUAACUCUCUGAAACCCACAAAUCGAUUCUCCCAGUCACCGGUUAAAUUCGCCGGCCGCCGUCGUUGAAGGUAGCCGCGACACUGAACCUCUUGCUCUUUCCUUCAACCCUGAUCCCCUUUCUCCAUCUCCAAAGAAUCAAACCCCAGAUCUUUUUCUUCGUCGAUGACCAGCCCAGAUUUUGAAGCUUCACUUCUUCUAAUCGUCUUCACUUUCUUCUUUUGUCUUUUGCCGUUAAAGACACCGAUUUCUCCAAUUUGAGCUCAAAUCUCCUUCAUCCUGAAUUGAUUAUGAGUUUCCUUACCGUUCGAGCUAUGGCAAAGUAACAGCUCAGAGGACUCAGAUCUGAUGUAUAUUUAUUUUCCCACGAUUUAGCGAUUAUGAUGCCAGAGAGAGACAGAGAAAGUCUGGGUUCGAUAAAAUUGGCGGAGAGGGAGAAAGAAAGAGUCUAGGUUAUACCUAAGGGACGAACCAAGAUGAACAAGGUCCAAAGAGAAGCUGGUUUUGUCUUGGAACAGAUUAUUGAAUUGUAGAAACUUCAGCUCAAGGAAGAGAAUGGUUAUCUGGAGAAACCUAAGAGAUGAAGUCUACAAGUGAUAGUAAGGACGGUAGACUCUCAGCAGCCUCUAGAGUUGCAGUGAACAAAAUUCUAGACAAGAGAACUUCUCGAGGCAAGAAGAAGCAAGAUGACAACUCAGCAGCCAACUCAUAAAGUUGUUAUGUGCUUAAAUAUUUUCCCAUCUAUCUUCACAAUCUGUGGAGCAUGUGGUCAGAGAAGAGACGACAGUGGCUACUUAUGAACUCGUUGGUAUAUAUUGUGAACUUCUUGUUGCUCGUUUGGUGUGAUUGGCUCUAAAAAGUAAGUAAAAAACUAAACUCAGGUUUGUUGAAAAACCUUUGUACACACUCGUUUGUUUUUGUUUAUUUGUGUUGAUCAUUGUUUGUGAUUUUACUUCAAAACAUGCUUUAAUGAUCUUAAGGUUAAGAGAUGUUAAAGAACUCUUUCAGAUAUUGUUAAGCAUGUUUCUGCAAAGUAUGAAAUAUUUUUUUUCUUUCAGCUGCUAUUGGUUUGCAACCAGAUUCUGGUGUGAGUCGAUUGGUAAGUGGUCGUAGGCUUUGUAUUAUUUCAGUGAUAGAUUUUGUACAUACAAGCAGAAACUUUACUAUCAUACUUGUAAGAUUUUCAGACAAAUGAAGACUCUCUUUUUUGGAUUGACAACAAAGACUCGGAGGCUACCAAAACAGAGGAGAGUAGUUUGGGAAUGUGAAGUUAGUUUUAUUUUAUUUUUAGACUGGCACUUUGUUAUGUAAGACUUCUUUUAGAUAAUAUAAUAUUUAA